rnacentral:rRNA from 1 species
AGUGAACGCUGGCGGUAGGCCUAACACAUGCAAGUCGAACGGCAGCACAGUAAGAGCUUGCUCUUACGGGUGGCGAGUGGCGGACGGGUGAGGAAUACAUCGGAAUCUACUUUUUCGUGGGGGAUAACGUAGGGAAACUUACGCUAAUACCGCAUACGACCUACGGGUGAAAGCAGGGGAUCUUCGGACCUUGCGCGAUUGAAUGAGCCGAUGUCGGAUUAGCUAGUUGGCGGGGUAAAGGCCCACCAAGGCGACGAUCCGUAGCUGGUCUGAGAGGAUGAUCAGCAAAACUGGAAAUGAGCCAAGGUCAAGACUCCUACGGGAGGCAGCAGUGGGGAAUAUUGGACAAUGGGCGCAAGCCUGAACAAGCUAUACCGCGUAGGUGAAGAAGGCCUUCGGGUGGUAAAGCCCUUUUGUUGGGAAAGAAAAGAAGCAGGUUAAUACCCCGCUGUCCUGACGGUACCCAAAGAAUAAGCAACGGCUAACUUCGUG